rnacentral:rRNA from 1 species
UACGUAGGGUGCAAGCGUUAAUCGGAAUUACUGGGCGUAAAGCGUGCGCAGGCGGUAUUGUAAGUCUGUCGUGAAAUCCCCGGGCUCAACCUGGGAAUUGCGUUGGAGACUGCAAGGUUAGAAUCUGGCAGAGGGGGGUAGAAUUCCACGUGUAGCAGUGAAAUGCGUAGAGAUGUGGAGGAACACCGAUGGCGAAGGCAGCCCCCUGGGUCAAGAUUGACGCUCAUGCACGAAAGCGUGGGGAGCGAACAGG